rnacentral:rRNA from 1 species
UACGUAGGUGGCAAGCGUUGUUCGGAAUCACUGGGCGUAAAGCGCACGUAGGCGGGUUGUUAAGUCAGGGGUGAAAUCCUGGAGCUCAACUCCAGAACUGCCUUUGAUACUGGCAAUCUUUGAGUCCGGGAGAGGUGGGUGGAACUGCGAGUGUAGAGGUGAAAUUCGUAGAUAUUCGCAAGAACACCAGUGGCGAAGGCGGCUCACUGGCCCGGUACUGACGCUGAGGUGCGAAAGCGUGGGGAGCAAACAGG